CGGUCUGUAGCUCAGUUGGUAGAGCAGCUGACUCUUAAUCAGCGGGCCUUGGGUUCGAGCCCCAACAGACCGA
rnacentral:tRNA from 1 species